UUUCAAGAUCCAAAAAAGUAGAAAAAGGGAGAAAGUGAAAAAUGAAUAGGGAACUUUUCUUUUAAAAAUGAAUUCCCUCCAUUUUCUUCUGGUAGAAAAAAUGCAACACAAUGCAUUCCAUACGUAAUAAGUUACAUUUCCUCUUAUCUUCAUUAUCCAAACCUUAUACUCAAAACCAGACACAAGUCUUCUCUCAUCUCUCUUUCAAACACACUCAGUAAACAUACCUUCAAAAGUGCAACAUCCAAACUUCAACAAAAACUUCAUACUACUCACCUCCAUCUUAACACCACCACCGCGGACUCACUGUUCACGCCGAACCACCAACACUUUGCACCGCUCCUGCCAGCUCCAACAACCACAAACCGCCACUAUUCAUGUGAUACUCUUCCAAACAACCAUCAAUGUCGUCACUUUGAAAGUUCAACCCCGCGUUUCAUUAUUGCCAACAUCAAAACCUCUCUUCGCGAAACUCCUACCAUCCACCAAAACUCAACUCUCACUUGCAUCAUCCAACAACGUCCAUCCACGGUGAAACCGAAAAAAAUCCAACUAUGACACACAUCCAAACCUCAACAAAGACAACUAAUCCACCAUUUUAACAAACGUCAGCCACCACCCUCAGUAACUAUAAACUGUUAACCACCAUCAUUGUCAAACUACACUCAAAACCAACUCCAGCGAAGCAUUUCGAUAACUCUAGCGAGCAUAAUAACUCCAUAUCCGAUAACUAAGUCUGAAUAUGUUGUUUCUUUGUGUAUUAUAUUAUGUUUAUUUUUCAUUUUGCAUUGGGUACAUGUUGUUGUUGUGAUUAUACUUUCGACUAUCGUGUAUAUUCUGUUGUGAUGUCUAUGAGUGCUGGCUGUGAU
rnacentral:lncRNA from 1 species